AUGUCCUCACUUCAGCCCUUCCUCCCAAACAGGAUGUCCUACUAGUUAUUUGAGCUGGUCCUGGGUGGCUUCAUUCUACGAGGCUUUGGUCCAGUGUUGGUGCGGCCUCCUUUUUGAAAGGGCAGACCAGACUCUUCCUCAACCCAUGUCCACUGCCUGGCAGGGUCUUCCUGCCUAAUGUGUGACCGGCUUCUCACUUUUAUCCCUCAACACCUGUGUUUCCUCAGCCCCAGCUUUGUCUCCCUGCCCUUCUCCCUCAGGCUAAGAACGCUCAGGGAACAUAGCGUGGCAGCUCUGGGAUCUUGGUGCCAGCAUACCAAUUCUUUGAGUCAGGAAUAUAUUGCUGUCUCCUGGAGAUGGAACACAUGUGCCAGGCCCUCUAGAGCAGCAGUUAGGUCUGGCCUCCCGGGCCCAGCCCUGCAGAAUGUGGAAUAGAACAUUCAGGAAGGUGAUGAUUUCCGACAUGUGUCUCGAUCUAUAGUAACAUGUGUUACCAUGACAGUGGGGACUCCCAGAGCAGUACUCUUGGCUCUGUCUCUGGCAGAAGCGUCCCUGACCCGACUAGGAAGAGAUGAUUCAUAUUUAGGACAGCCCUGGGUCUUUCCUUUAGCUUCAGGGCCACUGUGUAUUUGAGGAAUAGCUGCUGGAAGUAACCCUUUUGCUGCUGGUGGGGAUACAUUUUUGCUUUGUUUUGGAUAGUGCUUUGCUACAAGGCCUAAGCUGGCCUGGAACUUGUUAUAUAACCCAGGCUGGUAAACCUGAUCCUUCUGCCACAGCUUCUCUAGAACUGGGAUUAUAUUAUAUUAUAUUAUGUUAUAUUAUGUUAUUAUAUUAAUUAUUUCACAUUACAGACAGGUGCCACCAUGCAGAGUGAGACAUACUUCAAAUCAGGGAAUGCUCUGUGAAGAGACCUGGCUGAGGUGACUCAGCUUGCAGCUUGUGAAGAGACCUGGCUGUGGUGACUCAGCUCGCAGCUGUCCCUGUGCAGGGCUGGAGAGGGACGGGAUCCAGAUCAGUCCAGGUUCUGGGGGGAAGGGAGCCAAGUGGCAAAGGUAGGAAAAGCACCUUGGGGUGGAUAAGCCAGGGUUCCUCUGGCACCUGAACCUCCAUCAAAGGCCUGCUAGUCAGUGACUAAGAGGUCUGCCCUACAUCCCCAGGGAAAGGAAGGCCCUAACCCUAGUACCUUAGAAUGUGACUAUUUCGAAGCAAGACCUUUAAAUCCACGGUAUCAAAAUCUAUACUAGUUAAGAGUCUCCACAGAAACAGAACCAAGAAGAGAGAAGAGGAAGAGACGGAGAUGGGGAGAAAGACAAAAAGAACGAAAAGGCCAAUAAAAACACUGGAUCACAUGAUAAUGGAGACUGGCAAGUCCCAAGAUCUUCAGGCUCCUUCUUCAAGAGCCAACAGUGUAGUUUCUAGGUGUAGGCCACAGGCUCAAGGCCAGAGAACUGUUUUAGGUCAGG
rnacentral:lncRNA from 1 species